GACGAACGCUGGCGGCGUGCCUAACACAUGCAAGUCAACUUGACUGAAGGAGCAAUCUGACAGUAGAGUGGCGCAAGGGUGCGUAACGCGUAAGUAACUUGCCCAAGGUAAGGAAUAACGUCGAGAAAUCGGCGCUAAUACCUCAUAAUGCAGCGGAUCCGCAUGGAUAUGUUGUAAGGUUACCGCCUUGGGAUAGGCUUGCGUCUGAUUAGCUAGUUGGUGUGGUAACGGCACACCAAGGCUACGAUCAGUAACUGGUCUGAGAGGAUGAUCAGUCACACUGGAACUGAGACACGGUCCAGACUCCUACGGAGGCAGCAGUGAGGAAUAUUGGGCAAUGCUCGAAGAGUGACCCAGCAACGCCGCGUGGAGGAUGAAGGUAG
rnacentral:rRNA from 1 species